CACGUAGGCACCAAGCGUUGUCCGGAUUUAUUGGGCGUAAAGAGCUCGUAGGCGGUUCAGUAAGUCGGGUGUGAAAACUCUGGGCUCAACCCAGAGACGCCACCCGAUACUGCUGUGACUUGAGUACGGUAGGGGAGUGGGGAAUUCCUGGUGUAGCGGUGAAAUGCGCAGAUAUCAGGAGGAACACCGGUGGCGAAGGCGGGUCUCUGGGCCGAUAUUGACGCUGAGGAGCGAAAGCGUGGGGAGCGAACAGG
rnacentral:rRNA from 1 species